rnacentral:rRNA from 1 species
CAGCAGGCGCGAAACCUUCACAAUGCGCGAAAGYGUGAUAAGGGAAUCCCAAGUGCUCAYKCUUUACAUGGACUUUUGCCAAUGGUAAAAAUCUUGGCGAAUAAGUGGUGGGGAAGAACGGUGCCCACCGCCGCGGUAACACCAGCSCCAUGAGGGGSAAUCCUUUUUAUUGGGCCUAAAGCGUCCGUAACCGGUUUUAUAAAUUUCUUGUGUAAUCGUUGUGCUUAACCUAUCGGAGUGCCGGGAACACUGCUAAACUUGAGACCGGGAGGAGYUAGAGGUAUUCCUGGGGUAGCGGUAAAAUUCUAUAAUCCUAGGAGGACCACCUGUGGCGAAGGCGUCUGACUAGAACGGGUCUGACGGUGAGGGACGAAAGCCAGGGGAGCRAACCGGAUUAGAUACCCGAGUAGUCCUGGCCGUAAACGCUGCGAGCUAGGUGUUACAUAUUCUCCGAGAAGAASMAGUGUCGAAKAGAAG